AACGUAGGCGGCGUGGAUUAGGCAUGCAAGUCGAACGAAUCCCCAGCAAUGGGGGGAAGUGGCGAAAGGGGCAGUAAGGCGUGGGUAACCUACCCCGAGGACCGGGAUAGCCACUCUAACGAGUGGGUAAUACCGGGCGCGGUACCGGGAGGGCAUCCUUCGGGUAUGGAAGGGUCCGCCGCCUCGGGAGGGGCUCACGUAGUAUUAGCUAGACGGCGGGGUAACGGCCCACCGUGGCGAAGAUGCUUAGCGGGUGUGAGAGCACGACCCGCGCCACUGGCACUGAGAACUGGCCAGACUCCUACGGGAGGCUGCAGUCGAGGAUCUUCGGCAAUGGGCGCAAGCCUGACCGAGCGACGCCGCGUGCGCGAUGAAGGCCUUCGGGUUGUAAAGCGCUGUCGAGGGGGAGAAAGCCCGCAAGGGUUGAUCGACCCCUGGAGGAAGCACGGGCUAAGUUCGUGCCAGCAGCCGCGGUAAGACGAACCGUGCGAACGUUGUUCGGAUUCACUGGGCUUAAAGGGCGCGUAGGCGGGCAUUCAAGUCGGGGGUGAAAUCCCACGGCCCAACCGUGGAAGUGCCCCCGAUACUGGGUGUCUGGAGGGAGGUAGGGGUGUGUGGAACUUCCGGUGGAGCGGUGAAAUGCGUAGAUAUCGGAAGGAACGCCGGUGGCGAAAGCGACGCACUGGACCUCUUCUGACGCUGAGGCGCGAAAGCCAGGGGAGCAAACGGGAUUAGAUACCACAAGUGUCCCCCAUACGGGUAACCGUAUGGUGUGCAUCCGGCUAUAUCGGGGGAAGUCUCACGGCAAGUGAGACAAUCCCGACGGAAGUCGCACCCGCGAGGGUGUUGACCCGCUAGAGACUACACGCCGGAUACCCUUCUUUGGGAGGGUAAUGAUAUAGUCCGAGCUGCAUGGCGACAUGCAGAGCCGGCCAGAAAUGAGUCGGCCCCAGGUGCGAGCCUGGAGUAACAAGACUGACCCCGGUAGUCCUGGCCCUAAACGAUGGGUACUAGGUAGUGGGCCGGCAUGGGCUCCCUGCCGAAGCGAAAGUGCUAAGUACCCCGCCUGGGGAGUAUGGUCGCAAGGCUGAAACUCAAAGGAAUUGACGGGGGCUCACACAAGCGGUGGAGCAUGUGGCUUAAUUCGAGGCUACGCGAAGAACCUUAUCCUGGGCUUGACAUGUCCGAAAGGGGCAGGAAGUAGGGGGCGGAAACGUUCUCCGAACGGUAUCCAGUCCGGAACCUAGCACAGGUGCUGCAUGGCUGUCGUCAGCUCGUGUCGUGAGAUGUUGGGUUAAGUCCCGUAACGAGCGAAACCCUUGUCCCUAGUUGCUAACCCGUAAGGGAGGACUCUAGGGAGACUGCCGGCGUCAAGCCGGAGGAAGGCGGGGAUGACGUCAAGUCCUCAUGGCCUUUAUGCCCAGGGCUGCACACGUGCUACAAUGGCGUGGACAGAGGGAAGCAAACCUGCGAAGGGGAGCGAAUCCCAAAAAGCACGCCCCAGUUCAGAUCGAAGGCUGCAACUCGCCUUCGUGAAGUUGGAAUCGCUAGUAAUCGCGGGUCAGCAACACCGCGGUGAAUGUGUUCCUGAGCAUUGCACA
rnacentral:rRNA from 1 species